CCAGACUCCUACGGGAGGCAGCAGUGGGGAAUAUUGGGCAAUGGGCGCAAGCCUGACCCAGCAACGCCGCGUGAAGGAAGAAGGCUUUCGGGUUGUAAACUUCUUUUAAGAGGGAAGAGCAGAAGACGGUACCUCUUGAAUAAGCUCCGGCUAACUACGUGCCAGCAGCCGCGGCAAUACGUAGGGAGCGAGCGUUGUCCGGAUUUACUGGGUGUAAAGGGCGUGCAGCCGGGAGUACAAGUCAGAUGUGAAAUCCCGCGGCUCAACCGCGGAACUGCAUUUGAAACUGUAUUUCUUGAGUACUGGAGAGGCAGACGGAAUUCCUAGUGUAGCGGGGAAAUGCGUAGAUAUUAGGAGGAGCACCAGUGGCGAGGGCGGACUGCUGGACAGCAACUGACGGUGAGGCGCGAAAGCGUGGGGAGCAAACAGGAUUAGAUACCCUGGUACC
rnacentral:rRNA from 1 species